rnacentral:rRNA from 1 species
UAUAGGGCAAGUAAUACACGUUAACGGUCUAAAGGAUACGUAGUAUGGAACAUUGUAUAUGUUCUAGGAUAGUCAUACAUACUACAACCAUUAUAUGAGAAGCAGUCAAAUGUGAUGAUACAUAUAUGAGUGACAGUAUAUGAAAAUAUGUAGUAGUUGACUAUUGACAUUGAGGUAUGAAAGUAUGGGUAUCAAGUUGGACUCGUCAACCAAUUAGUCCAUACUGUAAACUAUGUACACUGUCACAUUAUACAUACUAUAUAGUAUAUAUAUAUAGUGUGAUAAACUAAAGCUAUAGUGUACCACCGGAGAAGUACUACUAAAGGUAGAAACUCAAAACAAUAGGCUGUGUGACCACCAA